rnacentral:ncRNA from 1 species
UCUUAUCAAGAGUGGUGGAGGGAACAGGCCCAAUGAUACCCGGCAACCAAACUUCGGUUAUGGUGCUAAAUCCUGCAAGAAUAAUCUUGAAAGAUGAGA